AUGAACGCUAGCUACAGGCUUAACACAUGCAAGUCGAGGGGCAGCAUGGUCUUAGCUUGCUAAGGCCGAUGGCGACCGGCGCACGGGUGAGUAACACGUAUCCAACCUGCCGUCUACUCUUGGACAGCCUUCUGAAAGGAAGAUUAAUACAAGAUGGCAUCAUGAGUCCGCAUGUUCACAUGAUUAAAGGUAUUCCGGUAGACGAUGGGGAUGCGUUCCAUUAGAUAGUAGGCGGGGUAACGGCCCACCUAGUCUUCGAUGGAUAGGGGUUCUGAGAGGAAGGUCCCCCACAUUGGAACUGAGACACGGUCCAAACUCCUACGGGAGGCAGCAGUGAGGAAUAUUGGUCAAUGGGCGAGAGCCUGAACCAGCCAAGUAGCGUGAAGGAUGACUGCCCUAUGGGUUGUAAACUUCUUUUAUAAAGGAAUAAAGUCGGGUAUGCAUACCCGUUUGCAUGUACUUUAUGAAUAAGGAUCGGCUAACUCCGUGCCAGCAGCCGCGGUAAUACGGAGGAUCCGAGCGUUAUCCGGAUUUAUUGGGUUUAAAGGGAGCGUAGAUGGAUGUUUAAGUCAGUUGUGAAAGUUUGCGGCUCAACCGUAAAAUUGCAGUUGAUACUGGAUAUCUUGAGUGCAGUUGAGGCAGGCGGAAUUCGUGGUGUAGCGGUGAAAUGCUUAGAUAUCACGAAGAACUCCGAUUGCGAAGGCAGCCUGCUAAGUUGCAACUGACAUUGAGGCUCGAAAGUGUGGGUAUCAAACAGGAUUAGAUACCCUGGUAGUCCACACGGUAAACGAUGAAUACUCGCUGUUUGCGAUAUACUGCAAGCGGCCAAGCGAAAGCGUUAAGUAUUCCACCUGGGGAGUACGCCGGCAACGGUGAAACUCAAAGGAAUUGACGGGGGCCCGCACAAGCGGAGGAACAUGUGGUUUAAUUCGAUGAUACGCGAGGAACCUUACCCGGGCUUAAAUUGCAGAUGAAUUACGGUGAAAGCCGUAAGCCGCAAGGCAUCUGUGAAGGUGCUGCAUGGUUGUCGUCAGCUCGUGCCGUGAGGUGUCGGCUUAAGUGCCAUAACGAGCGCAACCCUUGUUGUCAGUUACUAACAGGUUCCGCUGAGGACUCUGACAAGACUGCCAUCGUAAGAUGUGAGGAAGGUGGGGAUGACGUCAAAUCAGCACGGCCCUUACGUCCGGGGCUACACACGUGUUACAAUGGGGGGUACAGAGGGCCGCUACCACGCGAGUGGAUGCCAAUCCCCAAAACCUCUCUCAGUUCGGACUGGAGUCUGCAACCCGACUCCACGAAGCUGGAUUCGCUAGUAAUCGCGCAUCAGCCACGGCGCGGUGAAUACGUUCCCGGGCCUUGUACACACCGCCCGUCAAGCCAUGGGAGCCGGGGGUACCUGAAGUGCGUAACCGCGAGGAGCGCCCUAGGGUAAAACUGGUGACUGGGGCU
rnacentral:rRNA from 1 species